rnacentral:rRNA from 1 species
UACGAAGGGGGCGAGCGUUGUUCGGAUUUACUGGGCGUAAAGGGCGCGCAGGCGGCUCAUUUUGUCAGGCGUGAAAGCCCCGGGCUUAACCUGGGAACUGCGUUUGAUACGGAUGGGCUAGAGUUCGGGAGAGGAGAGUGGAAUUCCCAGUGUAGAGGUGAAAUUCGUAGAUAUUGGGAAGAACACCGGUGGCGAAGGCGGCUCUCUGGACCGAGACUGACGCUGAGGCGCGAAAGCGGGGGGAGCAAACAGG